UGCCUUACACAUGCAAGUCGGACGGCAGCGCGGGCUUCGGCCUGGCGGCGAGUGGCGAACGGGUGAGUAAUGCAUCGGGAUCUACCCAGACGUGGGGGAUAACCUCGGGAAACCGGGACUAAUACCGCAUACGUCCUACGGGAGAAAGCGGGGGCUCGCAAGACCUCGCGCGGCUGGACGAACCGAUGCGCGAUUAGCUGGUUGGUGGGGUAAAGGCCUACCAAGGCGACGAUCGCUAGCUGGUCUGAGAGGAUGAUCAGCCACAUUGGGACUGAGACACGGCCCAAACUCCUACGGGAGGCAGCAGUGGGGAAUAUUGGACAAUGGGCGCAAGCCUGAUCCAGCAAUGCCGCGUGUGUGAAGAAGGCCUUCGGGUUGUAAAGCAC
rnacentral:rRNA from 1 species